rnacentral:rRNA from 1 species
GGGUGAGUAACGCGUGGGCAACCUGCCCCAUACAGGGGGAUAACAGUUGGAAACGACUGACAAUACCGCAUAAGCGCACAGUACCGCAUGGUACGGUGUGAAAAACUCCGGUGGUAUGGGAUGGGCCCGCGUCUGAUUAGCUAGUUGGUGAGGUAACGGCCCACCAAGGCGACGAUCAGUAGCCGACCUGAGAGGGUGACCGGCCACAUUGGGACUGAGACACGGCCCAAACUCCUACGGGAGGCAGCAGUGGGGAAUAUUGCACAAUGGGGGAAACCCUGAUGCAGCGACGCCGCGUGAGUGAUGAAGUAUUUCGGUAUGUAAAGCUCUAUCAGCAGGGAAGAAAUUGACGGUACCUGACUAAGAAGCCCCGGCUAACUACGUGCCAGCAGCCGCGGUAAUACGUAGGGGGCAAGCGUUAUCCGGAUUUACUGGGUGUAAAGGGAGCGCAGGCGGAAGGCUAAGUCUGAUGUGAAAACCCGGGGCUCAACUCCGGGACUGCAUUGGAAACUGGUCAUCUUGAGUGUCGGAGGGGUAAGUGGAAUUCCUAGUGUAGCGGUGAAAUGCUUAGAUAUUAGGAGGAACACCAGUGGCGAAGGCGGCUUACUGGACGACAACUG